rnacentral:rRNA from 1 species
AGAGUUUGAUCCUGGCUCAGGAUGAACGCUGGCGGCGUGCUUAACACAUGCAAGUCGAACGGCAGCACAGGGAGCUUGCUCCCCGGGUGGCGAGUGGCGCACGGGUGAGUAAUACAUCGGAACGUGUCCUGUUGUGGGGGAUAACUGCUCGAAAGGGUGGCUAAUACCGCAUGAGACCUGAGGGUGAAAGCGGGGGAUCGCAAGACCUCGCGCAAUUGGAGCGGCCGAUGCCCGAUUAGCUAGUUGGUGAGGUAAAGGCUCACCAAGGCGACGAUCGGUAGCUGGUCUGAGAGGACGACCAGCCACACUGGGACUGAGACACGGCCCAGACUCCGUACGGGAGGCA